rnacentral:rRNA from 1 species
GUAGUUUGAUCAUGGCUCAGGAUGAACGCUAGCGGCAGGCUUAACACAUGCAAGUCGAGGGGCAGCGGGGUGUAGCAAUACACUGCCGGCGACCGGCGCACGGGUGCGUAACGCGUAUGCAACCUACCCAUAACAGGGGGCAUAACACUGAGAAAUUGGUACUAAUUCCCCAUAACAUUCGAAGAGGCAUCUCUUUAGGUUGAAAACUCCGGUGGUUAUGGAUGGGCAUGCGUUGUAUUAGC